AGUGAACGCUGGCGGUAGGCCUAACACAUGCAAGUCGAACGGCAGCACAGUAAGAGCUUGCUCUUACGGGUGGCGAGUGGCGGACGGGUGAGGAAUACAUCGGAAUCUACUUUUUCGGGGGGGAUAACGUAGGGAAACUUACGCUAAUACCGCAUACGACCUACGGGUGAAAGCAGUGGAUCUUCGGACCUUGCGCGAUUGAAUGAGCCGAUGUCGGAUUAGCUAGUUGGCGGGGUAAAGGCCCACCAAGUCGACGAUCCGUAGCUGGUCUGAGAGGAUGAUCAGCCACACUGGAACUGAGACACGGUCCAGACUACUACGGGAGGCAGCAGUGGGGAAUAUUGGACAAUGGGCGCAAGCCUGAUCCAGCCAUACCGCGUGGGUGAAGAAGGCCUUCGGGUUGUAAAGCCCUUUUGUUGGGAAAGAAAAGCAGCAGGUUAAUACCCCGCUGUUCUGACGGUACCCAAAGAAUAAGCACCGGCUAACUUCGUG
rnacentral:rRNA from 1 species